GAUGAACGCUGGCGGCGUGCUUAACACAUGCAAGUCGAACGAAGCACCUUGAUUUGAUUCUUCGGAUGAAGAUCUUGGUGACUGAGUGGCGGACGGGUGAGUAACGCGUGGGUAACCUGCCUCAUACAGGGGGAUAACAGUUAGAAAUGACUGCUAAUACCGCAUAAGACCACAGCACCGCAUGGUGCAGGGGUAAAAACUCCGGUGGUAUGAGAUGGACCCGCGUCUGAUUAGGUAGUUGGUGGGGUAACGGCCUACCAAGCCGACGAUCAGUAGCCGACCUGAGAGGGGGCCCGGCCACAUUGGGACUGAGACACGGCCCAAACUCCUACGGGAGGCAGCAGUGGGGAAUAUUGUACAAUGGGGGAAACCCUGAUGCAGCGACGCCGCGUGAGCGAUGAAGUAUUUCGGUAUGUAAAGCUCUAUCAGCAGGGAAGAAAAUGACGGUACCUGACUAAGAAGCACCGGCUAAAUACGUG
rnacentral:rRNA from 1 species